rnacentral:misc_RNA from 1 species
AACGCACCUUGCACCCUUUGGUAUUCCGAAGGGUAUGCUCGUUUGAGUGUCAUUGUACUCUCACACUCUCUGAUCCUUUGGAUUCAGAAAGUGGUGGACUUGGGUGUUUGCUGCUUUCCUGGUGGCUCACCUCAAAUGCGUUAGUGCACCUCUUGGUUGGACAUAGUACGGCGUGAUAAGUAUCUUCGCCGGCACCUCGCAAGAGGGUGGCCGAUUGGGAGCUCUGUGCUUUCAAACCGUCUUCGGACAAUCUCUGACAACUUGACCUCAAAUCGAGUAGGACUACCCGCUGAACUUAA